rnacentral:rRNA from 1 species
AUGGCGAGUUUGAUCCUGGCUCAGGAUAAACGCUGGCGGCGUGCCUAACACAUGCAAGUCGAACGCUCUGCGCAAGCAGGGAGUGGCGGACGGGUGAGUAACACGUGGGUUAUCUACCAAAAAGUGAGGAAUACCGGCGAGAAAUCGCCGACAAAACCGCAUACGCUCGUGAGAACGAGUAAAGUCGCAAGACGCUUUUUGAUGAGCCUGCGCCCGAUUAGCUCGUUGGUGGGGUAAUGGCCUACCAAGGCGACGAUCGGUAGCUGGUCUGAGAGGACGAUCAGCCACACUGGGAUUGAGAACGGCCCAGACUCCUACGGGGGGCAGCAGUGAGGAAUUUUCCGCAAUGGACGCAAGUCUGACGGAGCAACGCCGCGUGCAGGAUGACGGCCUUCGGGUUGUAAACUGCUUUUCUCUGGGACGAACAAUGACGGUACCAGAGGAAUCAGCCUCGGCUAACUACGUGCCAGCAGCCGCGGUAAUACGUAGGAGGCGAGCGUUGUCCGGAGUUACUGGGCGUAAAGCGCACGCAGGCGGUCUGUCGCGUUGGCACUGACAGUUUCCAGCUUAACUGGAAAAGGCGUGCCAAGACGGACAGACUUGAGGGCUUCAGAGGAAGAGAGAAUUCCGGGUGGAGUGGUGAAAUGCGUAGAGAUCCGGAGGAAUACCAAAGGCGAAGGCACUCUUCUGGGAAGUUCCUGACGCUGAUGUGCGAAAGCUAGGGGAGCGAACGGGAUUAGAUACCCCGGUAGUCCUAGCCGUAAACGAUGACCACUAGGUAUACGGGGUAUCGACCCCCUGUGUGCCGUAGCUAACGCAUUAAGUGGUCCGCCUGGGGAGUACGGUCGCAAGAUUAAAACUCAAAGGAAUUGACGGGGACCCGCACAAGCAGCGGAGCGUGUGGUUUAAUUCGAUGCAACGCGAAGAACCUUACCAGGGCUUGACAUGUCGUCGCACCACCGAGAGAUCGGUGUACCCGCAAGGGACGGCGGCACAGGUGCUGCAUGGCUGUCGUCAGCUCGUGUCGUGAGAUGUUGGGUUAAGUCCCGCAACGAGCGCAACCCCUUUCGUUGGUUACAAGUGUCCAGCGAGACUGCCAUUUUACAAUGGAGGAAGGUGGGGAUGACGUCAAGUCAGCACGGCCCUUACGUCCUGGGCUACACACACGCUACAAUGGCCGAGACAAAGAGUUGCCAACCAGCAAUGGGGAGCUAAUCUCGUCAAACUCGGUCUCAGUUCAGAUUGUAGGCUGCAACCCGCCUGCAUGAAGUUGGAGUUGCUAGUAACCGUGAGUCAGCACAUCACGGUGAAUACGUUCCCGGGUCUUGUACACACCGCCCGUCACACCACGAAAGUCGGCAACACUUGAAGCCGUCGAGCUAACCGCACACGCGGAGGCAGGCGUCGAGGGUGGGGUCGGUGAUUGGGGUGAAGUCGUAACAAGGUAGCCGUACCGGAAGGUG